rnacentral:rRNA from 1 species
UACGUAGGGGGCAAGCGUUGUCCGGAUUUAUUGGGCGUAAAGAGCGUGUAGGCGGCUGGGUAGGUCCGUUGUGAAAACUCGAGGCUCAACCUCGAGACGCCGAUGGAAACCCUCCAGCUAGAGUCCGGAAGAGGAGAGUGGAAUUCCUGGUGUAGCGGUGAAAUGCGUAGAUAUCUGGAGGAACACCGGUGGCGAAGGCGGCAUCCUGGACCGACAUUGACGCUGAGGCGCGAAAGCCAGGGGAGCAAACGGG